UACGUAGGGUGCAAGCGUUAAUCGGAAUUACUGGGCGUAAAGCGUGCGCAGGCGGUUAUGUAAGACAGAUGUGAAAUCCCCGGGCUCAACCUGGGACCUGCAUUUGUGACUGCAUAGCUGGAGUACGGUAGAGGGGGAUGGAAUUCCGCGUGUAGCAGUGAAAUGCGUAGAUAUGCGGAGGAACACCGAUGGCGAAGGCAAUCCCCUGGACCUGAACUGACGCUCAUGCACGAAAGCGUGGGGAGCAAACAGG
rnacentral:rRNA from 1 species